rnacentral:rRNA from 1 species
CCUACGGGAGGCAGCAGUGAGGAAUAUUGGUCAAUGGACGAGAGUCUGAACCAGCCAAGUAGCGUGAAGGAUGACUGCCCUAUGGGUUGUAAACUUCUUUUAUAUGGGAAUAAAACGGUCCACGUGUGGGUUUUUGUAUGUACCUUAUGAAUAAGGAUCGGCUAACUCCGUGCCAGCAGCCGCGGUAAUACGGAGGAUCCGAGCGUUAUCCGGAUUUAUUGGGUUUAAAGGGUGCGUAGGCGGGCAUUUAAGCGGGCGGUAAAAUGUUGGGGCUCAACCCUGGCCUGCCGGUGGAACUGGGUGCCUUGAGUGCGCGAGAGGUAUGCGGAAUGCGUGGUGUAGCGGUGAAAUGCAUAGAUAUCACGCAGAACCCCGAUUGCGAAGGCAGCAUACCGGCGCCCUACUGACGCUGAGGCACGAAAGUGCGGGUAUCGAACAGGAUUAGAUACCCCUGUAGUC